GCUAUCCCACUCUUUCCAAUAAUGAAGGGUAGCCAAACCUUCCUACUUAACUACUAUAAUAAAUGGAUGAGUGUGUGUGUGUGUGUGUGUGAGAGAGAGAGAGAGAGGGGCUUUAAUUAUUUCCAGGCUAGCUAGGACAAAUUAAGCCCUUCAAUCAAGCUUAAAGCUGAAGUACCCAGCUUGUAUCAUGAUCUCCUGCCUAUAAAGUUAAUUGCAAGGGCUCUUUGUUUGUGUUGCUGAUCAUAUAUAUAUAUAUAUAUUCUACCAGACAACAAAGAGAUCAUCUAGAAGAUCAAGGAAAAAUGGAAGGUGCACCACCACCACAAGAGAUGUCAUACUAUGAUCAUGUCCAGAAACGCCGCGAGGAGAAAGGAUGUCUCUAUGCUUGUCUUUUCACGUUUUGUUGCUGCUGUUGCUGCUUCGAGGCAUGCGAGUGCUGUUUGGAGAGUAUCUGCUGUUGUUGCUGAUCCUUGUUAAUUAUUAGCUCACGCAAAACAUGUUCUAGCUCAUAUCUCAUUGGAUUGAUCAUGAGUUGAUGUGGGAGUCAGUUUAAGUUUAUCCUCUGAAUAAACUAUAUAUUAAAAAUAUGUUAUUGCUAUAUACAAAGUAUCGUUUUCUUUUAUGGUACGUAAUUGAAUGAAAUAUCAUUCAAUUAUCUAUAUAUUGUGUGUGUGUGUGUAUAGCCAGGAGGUGUCUUGUACUUAUUGUAAGGGCUUGUUAAGACCAUGUAAGUUGUAUUCGUUGAAGGAAACUCAUGUGUGCUCAUGCUCUUGUUGUAGCAGAAAGUGAGAGAGAAGGGGCAAGGUUGAGGGUGUACGUGUAAUUUGCGCAUCCAUUUACAUGAAAUUGACCUCUUCAUCCCACUUUUGACUUGGGAAUCUUCUCAAUCCA